CCUACGGGGCGCAGCAGGGGCGAAAACUUUACAAUGCGGGCAACCGUGAUAAGGGAACCUCGAGUGUCUGUACAUGCAGGCUGUCUGGGUGUCUAAAACACACCCAAAGAAAGGGCCGGGCAAGACCGGUGCCAGCCGCCGCGGUAAUACCGGCGGCUCGAGUGGUGGCCACUUUUAUUGGGCUUAAAGCGUUCGUAGCUGGGUUGUUAAGUCUCUUGGGAAAUCCGGCGGCUUAACCGUCGGGCGUCUAAGAGAUACUGGCAAUCUUGGAACCGGGAGAGGUGAGGGGUACUUCGGGGGUAGGAGUGAAAUCCUGUAAUCCUCGAGGGACCACCUGUGGCGAAGGCGCCUCACCAGAACGGCUUCGACAGUGAGGGACGAAAGCUGGGGGAGCAAACCGGAUUAGAUACCCGGGUAGUCCCAGCCGUAAACGAUGUGCGUUAGGUGUAUCGACGACCACGAGUCGUCGAGGUGCCGAAGGGAAACCGUGAAACGUACCGCCUGGGAAGUACGGUCGCAAGGCUGAAACUUA
rnacentral:rRNA from 1 species